GCCUGGGUGGUUCAGUUGGUUGAGCAUCUGACUUCAGCUCAGGUCAUGAUCUCACGGUUCAUGGGUUUGAGCCCCGUGUCGGGCU
rnacentral:tRNA from 1 species